UACGUAGGGUGCAAGCGUUGUCCGGAAUUAUUGGGCGUAAAGAGCUCGUAGGCGGUUUGUCGCGUCGAAUGUGAAAACCCGGGGCUCAACCCCGGGCCUGCAUUCGAUACGGGCAGACUAGAGUUCGGUAGGGGAGUCUGGAAUUCCUGGUGUAGCGGUGAAAUGCGCAGAUAUCAGGAGGAACACCGGUGGCGAAGACGGGACUCUGGGCCGAUACUGACGCUGAGACGCGAAAGCGUGGGGAGCAAACAGG
rnacentral:rRNA from 1 species